AAUGUGCGAAAGCGCGAUGAGGGGAUCCCAAGUGCUUGCACGUUAGUGUAAGCUGUUUCUUUGUCUAAAAAGCAAAGAGAGGAAGGGCUGGGUAAGACGGGUGCCAGCCGCCGCGGUAAUACCUGCAGCUCGAGUGGUGACCGCUAUUAUUGGGCCUAAAACGUUCGUAGCCGGACGAGUAAAUGCUUGGGUAAAUCGUGCCGCUUAACGGCACGAAUUCCGAGUAGACUGCUUGUCUUGAGACCGGGAGAAGCUAGAGGUACUCCAGGGGUAGGGGUGAAAUCCUGUAAUCCUUGGGGGACCACCAGUGGCGAAGGCGUCCGACUAGAACGGAUCCGACGGUGAGGGACGAAGCCGUGGGGCACAAACCGGAUUAGAUACCCGGGUAGUCCACGGUGUAAACGCUGCGAGCUUGGUGUUGGGGGUCCUACGAGGGCGCCCAGUGCCGGAGAGAAGUUGUUAAGCUCGCCGCCUGGGGAGUACGAUCGCAAGAUUGAAACUUAAAGGAAUUGGCGGGGGAGCACAAGCCGAAUUCAAGCACA
rnacentral:rRNA from 1 species